rnacentral:rRNA from 1 species
AUGAACGCUGGCGGCGUGCCUAAUACAUGCAAGUCGAGCGAACGGACGAGAAGCUUGCUUCUCUGAUGUUAGCGGCGGACGGGUGAGUAACACGUGGAUAACCUACCUAUAAGACUGGGAUAACUUCGGGAAACCGGAGCUAAUACCGGAUAAUAUUUUGAACCGCAUGGUUCAAAAGUGAAAGACGGUCUUGCUGUCACUUAUAGAUGGAUCCGCGCUGCAUUAGCUAGUUGGUAAGGUAACGGCUUACCAAGGCAACGAUGCAUAGCCGACCUGAGAGGGUGAUCGGCCACACUGGAACUGAGACACGGUCCAGACUCCUACGGGAGGCAGCAGUAGGGAAUCUUCCGCAAUGGGCGAAAGCCUGACGGAGCAACGCCGCGUGAGUGAUGAAGGUCUUCGGAUCGUAAAACUCUGUUAUUAGGGAAGAACAUAUGUGUAAUUAACUGUGCACAUCUUGACGGUACCUAAUCAGAAAGCCACGGCUAACUACGUG